rnacentral:rRNA from 1 species
GAUGAACGCUGGCGGCGUGCCUAAUACAUGCAAGUCGAGCGAACAGACGAGGAGCUUGCUCCUCUGACGUUAGCGGCGGACGGGUGAGUAACACGUGGAUAACCUACCUAUAAGACUGGGAUAACUUCGGGAAACCGGAGCUAAUACCGGAUAAUAUAUUGAACCGCAUGGUUCAAUAGUGAAAGACGGUUUUGCUGUCACUUAUAGAUGGAUCCGCGCCGCAUUAGCUAGUUGGUAAGGUAACGGCUUACCAAGGCAACGAUGCGUAGCCGACCUGAGAGGGUGAUCGGCCACACUGGAACUGAGACACGGUCCAGACUCCUACGGGAGGCAGAAGUAGGGAAUCUUCCGAAAUGGGCGAAAGCUUGACGGAGCAACGCCGCGUGAGUGAUGAAGGUCUUCGGAUCGUAAAACUCUGUUAUUAGGGAAGAACAAAUGUGUAAGUAACUAUGCACGUCUUGACGGUACCUAAUCAGAAAGCCACGGCUAACUACGUG